AUGUGUUAUGCUGCUGCAGAAGCUCAUAAUUCACUUCCUCGGCUAGGCCAGGACUGCCUUUCCUUGCAGCGGACGCGUUUGGACUCCUGCUCGGAUCCACUUCGCCCACCGUCCGUCUAUAUAAGGCGGCACCAAGCGGCGGCCUCCGCACCGCGUCCACCUUCUCCCUUCCGGCCUCUCGCCACCGCCACGCGCCAUCAGUUCCAUCCCGCAAGAAGCCAUCCAUCGGAGGCGAGGCGAUCCAUCCAAGCUUGGGGGGUGAUGAUGCCGACGUCGUUCUUCCAGGGCAACGACGCCGGCGCCUGCGACGGCGACGGCUCGCCGCACGGGGUCAAGAAGAUGUGGACCAAGGAGGAGGACGACCUGCUGCGGGAGCAGGUGCGGCGCUGUGGCGGCCCGCACAACUGGGACUCCAUCUGCCGAGGCCUGCCCGGCCGCAACUCCAAGUCGUGCCGCCUCCGCUGGUGCCAGCACCUCGACCCCAGGGUGGAGGCCGUCAAGCCCUUCACCGUCGAGGAGGACAUGCUCAUCGUCAAGUACCAGGCCGCCUACGGCAACCGCUGGUCCACCAUCGCCGAGUUCCUCUCCGGCCGCACCGACAACGCCGUCAAGAACCGCUGGAACUCCGUCCUCCGCAAGCGCCAGGAGCACGCCCCCUCCCAGCAGGGCCAGACGCGCCCGUGGGCUCCUUCCGCCGCCCGGCAGGCCGCGGGCCCCGGGGUCACGCCGCGGUGCCUGCCGCUGUUCCCUGAUUCGGCCGAGGAGGUGCCGGAGGCUGACACAUCUGCGGCGGCGAGGAAGUGCCUCGACCUGUUCCCUCUGGCGCCCGGGGAUAUCAGGGCCAACGCGGCUGCUGUGGCGCCGCCCGGUGACAUGACUUGCGGAGCAGGCGACCCGCUCACCGAGCUGAGGCUCUGGCCGGCGCCGAGGGUGGUGUUCGACGUAAUGCCGCUCCAGGCCUACCGGAUGUAG
rnacentral:rRNA from 1 species